rnacentral:rRNA from 1 species
AUUGAACGCUGGCGGCAUGCUUUACACAUGCAAGUCGAACGGUAACAGGCCUUCGGGUGCUGACGAGUGGCGAACGGGUGAGUAAUGCAUCGGAACGUGCCCAAUCGUGGGGGAUAACGUAGCGAAAGUUACGCUAAUACCGCAUAGGCCCUGAGGGGGAAAGUGGGGGACCGCAAGGCCUCACGCGAAUGGAGCGGCCGAUGUCAGAUUAGCUAGUUGGUGGGGUAAAGGCCCACCAAGGCGACGAUCUGUAGCGGGUCUGAGAGGAUGAUCCGCCACACUGGGACUGAGACACGGCCCAGACUCCUACGGGAGGCAGCAGUGGGGAAUUUUGGACAAUGGGCGCAAGCCUGAUCCAGCCAUGCCGCGUGCGGGACGAAGGCC